rnacentral:rRNA from 1 species
AUUCGCCCUUCCUACGGGAGGCAGCAGUGGGGAAUAUUGGACAAUGGGGGAAACCCUGAUCCAGCGACGCCGCGUGAGUGAAGAAGUAUUUCGGUAUGUAAAGCUCUAUCAGCAGGGAAGAAAAUGACGGUACCUGACUAAGAAGCCCCGGCUAACUACGUGCCAGCAGCCGCGGUAAUACGUAGGGGGCAAGCGUUAUCCGGAUUUACUGGGUGUAAAGGGAGCGCAGACGGCCAAGCAAGUCUGAAGUGAAAUGCAUGGGCUCAACCCAUGAAUUGCUUUGGAAACUGUUCGGCUUGAGUGUCGGAGGGGUAAGCGGAAUUCCUAGUGUAGCGGUGAAAUGCGUAGAUAUUAGGAGGAACACCGGAGGCGAAGGCGGCUUACUGGACGACAACUGACGUUGAGGCUCGAAGGCGUGGGGAGCAAACAGGAUUAGAUACCCUGGUAGUCCACGCAGUAAACGAUGAAUACUUGGUGUCGGGGAGGUAAACUCUUCGGUG